rnacentral:sRNA from 1 species
AUGGAUUAACGAGAUUCCCA